rfam:Loxodonta africana unplaced genomic scaffold scaffold_79, whole genome shotgun sequence.
GUAAACAUAGUUUAAUUAAAACAUUAGAUUGUGAAUCUAUUAACAAGAGCUAAAACCUUUUGGUUUACU